CAGGGACCUUGAUCCCAUCUGUGCAUGGACUUGCACAAGAUUGUGGACCUUUCUGGAGCAUGUUCUUGGAUAUAUGAGAAAUAAAAAGAAAACCCAGGGAAGCCACCACAGCACGUCUCUUCAAAUGGUGAAUCUGGCAUUCUUUUCCACACUGAAGACUGUGAUGAAUCCCUCUUUAUUACUAGAGUGUUACAAAUAGCAGGCAUAGAGCAUGGACCCAAGAACUUUUUACUUAACUUAAGUAUGGUCAUCAAUAUGAAAUUUAGGGCUAUGACUGGACCUCUUCUAGGCAAGUGGUGAUGAUCUUGUACAUUGAAGACAACAGAAACAUAUACAGAGCACACAACAAAGGAAACCCAAGCAUGACUUUGGU